rnacentral:rRNA from 1 species
GUAGGUGGCAAGCGUUGUCCGGAUUUAUUGGGCGUAAAGCGCGCGCAGGGCGGUCCUUUAAGUCUGAUGUGAAAGCCCACGGCUCAACCGUGGAGGGUCAUUGGAAACUGGGGGACUUGAGUACAGAAGAGGAAAGCGGAAUUCCAAGUGUAGCGGUGAAAUGCGUAGAGAUUUGGAGGAACACCAGUGGCGAAGGCGGCUUUCUGGUCUGUAACUGACGCUGAGGCGCGAAAGCGUGGGGAGCAAACAGGAUUAGAUACCCUGGUAGUCCACGCCGUAAACGAUGAGUGCUAAGUGUUAGGGGGUUUCCGCCCCUUAGUGCUGCAGCUAACGCAUUAAGCACUCCGCCUGGGGAGUACGGCCGCAAGGCUG